rnacentral:rRNA from 1 species
CCUACGAGUGGCAGCAGUAGGGAAUAUUGCACAAUGGGGGAAACCCUGAAGCAGCAACGCCGCGUGGAGGAUGAAGGUUUUAGGAUUGUAAACUCCUUUUGUUAGAGAAGAUUAUGACGGUAUCUAACGAAUAAGCACCGGCUAACUCCGUGCCAGCAGCCGCGGUAAUACGGAGGGUGCAAGCGUUACUCGGAAUCACUGGGCGUAAAGCGUGCGUAGGCGGGGUAAUAAGUCAGAGGUGAAAGCCUGUAGCUUAACUACAGAACUGCAUUUGAAACUGUUACUCUGGAGUGUGGGAGAGGUAGGUGGAAUUCUUGGUGUAGGGGUAAAAUCCGUAGAGAUCAAGAGGAAUACUCAUUGCGAAGGCGACCUGCUGGAACAUUACUGACGCUGAUGCACGAAAGCGUGGGGAGCAAACAGGAUUAGAUACCCUUGUAGUC